CAAUAGCGUAUAUUAAAGUUGUUGCAGUUAAAAAGCUCGUAGUUGGAUUUCUGAUCGAGACAUCAGGUCGGGUCCGAGAGGAUCAUGUACUUUGAUUUUGUUUUGAUCAUCCUUGGGGAGAGCAUUUCUGGCAUUCAGUUGUCGGGAUUGGGAUCCUCAUCGUUUACUGUGAAAAAAUUAGAGUGUUCAAAGCAGGCCUCGGCCUCUGAAUACAUUAGCAUGGAAUAAUAAGAUAGGACUUUGGUGGUCUAUUUUGUUGGUUUGCACGCCAAAGUAAUGAUUAAUAGGGAUAGUUGGGGGUAUUCGUAUUCAAUUGCCAGAGGUGAAAUUCUUGGAUUUAUGGAAGACGAACCACUGCGAAAGCAUUUACCAAGGAUGUUUUCAUUAA
rnacentral:rRNA from 1 species